rnacentral:rRNA from 1 species
GGGAAGGUGGGGAUGAUGUCAAAUCAUCAUGGCCUCUAUGCCUUGGGCUACACACAUGCUACAAUGGCUGGUACAAAGGGCAGCCAGUGGGUGACCAGGAGGUAAUCUCUAAAACCAGUUUCAGUUCGGAUUGGAGUCUGCAAUUCGACUAUAUGAAGUCGCAAUCUCUAGUAAUCGCGCAUCAGCAAUGCAGCUGUGAAUAUGUUCUAUGUCCCGGCACACACCGCCAGGCAAGCCAUGGGAGUCGGAAGUACCUAAAGUCAGUAACCAUUAAAGGUCGGCCUAAGGUAAAAUUGGGACUAGGGUUAAGUGGUAACAAGGUA